rnacentral:rRNA from 1 species
ACAGCAGUAGCCGCGGGAAUACGGAGGGUGCAAGCGUUAAUCGGAAUUACUGGGCGUAAAGCGCACGCAGGCGGUCUGACAAGUCAGAUGUGAAAUCCCCGGGCUUAACCUGGGAACUGCAUUUGAAACUGUCAGGCUGGAGUCUUGUAGAGGGGGGUGGAAUUCCAGGUGUAGCGGCGAAAUGCGUAGAGAUCUGGAGGAAUACCGGUGGCGAAGGCGGCCCCCUGGACAAAGACUGACGCUCAGGUGCGAAAGCGUGGGGAGCAAACAGGAUUAGAUACCCCUGUAGUCCCUGUCUCUUAUAC